rnacentral:rRNA from 1 species
UACGAAGGGUGCAAGCGUUACUCGGAAUUACUGGGCGUAAAGCGUGCGUAGGUGGUUUGUUAAGUCUGUUGUGAAAGCCCCGGGCUCAACCUGGGAAUGGCAAUGGAUACUGGCAAGCUAGAGUGCGGUAGAGGGUAGUGGAAUUCCCGGUGUAGCGGUGAAAUGCGUAGAGAUUGGGUGGAACACCGGUGGCGAAGGCGGCUAUCUGGCUCACAACUGACGAUCAGGCACGAAAGCGUGGGGAGCAAACAGG